GAUGAACGCUGGCGGCGUGCCUAAUACAUGCAAGUCGAGCGAACAGACGAGGAUCUUGCUCCUCUUACGUUAGCGGCGGACGGGUGAGUAACACGUGGAUAACCUACCUAUAAGACUGGGAUAACUUCGGGAAACCGGAGCUAAUACCGGAUAACAUGUUGAACCGCAUGGUUCAACAGUGAAAGACGGUCUUGCUGUCACUUAUAGAUGGAUCAGCGCCGCAUUAGCUAGUUGGUAGGGUAACGGCUUACCAAGGCAACGAUGCGUAGCGGACCUGAGAGGGGGAGGGGGCACACUGGAACUGGGACACGGUCCAGACCCCUACGGGAGGCAGAGGUAGGGAAUCUUACGCAAUGGGCGAAAGCCUGACGGAGAAACGCCGCGUGAGUGAAGAAGGUGUUCGGGUCGUAAAACUCUGUUAUUAGGGAAGACCAAAUGUGUAAGUAACUAUGCACGUCUUGACGGUACCUAAUCAGAAAGCCACGGCUAACUACGUG
rnacentral:rRNA from 1 species